rnacentral:rRNA from 1 species
AGCAUAUCAAUAAGCGGAGGAAAAGAAACUAACAAGGAUUCCCCUAGUAGCGGCGAGCGAAGCGGGAAGAGCUCAAAUUUAUAAUCUGGCACCUUCGGUGUCCGAGUUGUAAUCUCUAGAAGUGUUUUCCGCGUUGGACCGCACACAAGUCUGUUGGAAUACAGCGGCAUAGUGGUGAAACCCCCGUAUAUGGUGCGGACGCCCAGCGCUUUGUGAUACACUUUCAAUGAGUCGAGUUGUUUGGGAAUGCAGCUCAAAUUGGGUGGUAAAUUCCAUCUAAAGCUAAAUAUUGGCGAGAGACCGAUAGCGAACAAGUACCGUGAGGGAAAGAUGAAAAGCACUUUGGAAAGAGAGUUAACAGUACGUGAAAUUGUUGGAAGGGAAACGCUUGAAGUCAGACUUGCUUGCCGGAGCUUGCUUCGGUUUGCAGGCCAGCAUCAGUUUUCCGGGGUGGAUAAUAACGGUUUGAAGGUAGCAGUCUCGGCUGUGUUAUAGCUUUCCGUUGGAUACAUCCUGGGGGACUGAGGAACGCAGCGUGCUUUUUGCGAAAGACUCGUCUUUUUCACGCUUAGGAUGCUGGUGGAAUGGCUUUAAACGACCCGUCUUGAAACACGGACCAAGGAGUCUAACAUGCUCGCGAGUAUUUGGGUGUCAAACCCGGAUGCGCAAUGAAAGUGAAUGUAGGUGGGAACCGCAAGGUGCACCAUCGACCGAUCUGGAUUUUUUAAGAUGGAUUUGAGUAAGAGCGCGUAUGUUGGGACCCGAAAGAUGGUGAACUAUGCCUGAAUAGGGCGAAGCCAGAGGAAACUCUGGUGGAGGCUCGUAGCGGUUCUGACGUGCAAAUCGAUCGUCAAAUUUGGGUAUAGGGGCGAAAGACUAAUCGAACCAUCUAGUAGCUGGUUCCUGCCGA